rnacentral:misc_RNA from 1 species
AUAGAGAUCUUAAGCCUGAAAAUUUCUUGUUUCAUAGUGUUGAGGAAGACGCUGCUCUCAAGGCCACUGAUUUUGGCCUCUCUGUAUUCUAUAAGCCAGGUGAGACCUUUUUCUGAUGUUGUUGGCAGUCCAUACUAUGUUGCGCCAGAGGUAUUGCGUAAGCAUUAUGGACCUGAAGCAGACGUGUGGAGUGCAGGAAUUAUUUUGUAUAUCUUAUUAUCUGG